rnacentral:lncRNA from 1 species
UUUUGUUGGACCGACGAAUAUGCGACUUUCGGUUAAACUCCGAUAUGCGGCGUGCUCUCCUCCUCCCAUAACAAAGAUGUCACUUUGAGGCCUUGUACGGCUGUAGUGUAGCUGCAACAUCCGCUGGAGCAUUCUUGGGGUAGUUCUAUGCGCUUUCUUUACACUUUCUCCACCGUUGAAGAGUUCUGGAGACUUUUACUUGAUGAAUGGAGAAGCUGGAUAGAAAGUCUUUUGAAAGCUACAGGACAAUGAACAAUAGGCUGCCGGAGCCCAAAAUCGUCGGGCAAUUCGUCAUUCGUCAGUUAGACGUGCAUCUUUUGCACAACUUACCUACAUAACACUAUGUGUUAGUAUGCUAAGUUGUGAUGAAUUUUAUGCGAAGUUGUGAUGAACUUUAAACCGUACAACAUUUUGUAUAGCUUCAUAUUGUACGUCUUUCAUAU